rnacentral:rRNA from 1 species
AUUGAACGCUGGCGGCAGGCCUAACACAUGCAAGUCGAGCGAGCGGCGGACGGGUGAGUAAUGUCUGGGAAACUGCCUGAUGGAGGGGGAUAACUACUGGAAACGGUAGCUAAUACCGCAUACCAUCGGAUGUGCCCAGAUGGGAUUAGCUAGUAGGUGGGGUAAAGGCUAACCUAGGCGACGAUCCAUAGCGGGUCUGAGAGGAUGACCAGCCACACUGGAACUGGUAAACGGUCCAGACUCCUACGGGAGGCAGCAGUGGGGAAUAUGGCACAAGGGGCGCAAGCCUGAUGCAGAAAUGCCGCGUGUAUGAAGAGGUCCUGCGGGUUGUAAAGUACUUUCAGCGGGGAGGCGUUACCCGCAGAAGAAGCACCGGCUAACUCCGUGCCAGCCGCCGCGGUAAUAC